rnacentral:rRNA from 1 species
CAGUAGCCGCGGUAAUACGUAGGGUGCAAGCGUUAAUCGGAAUUACUGGGCGUAAAGCGUGCGCAGGCGGUUUGUUAAGACAGAUGUGAAAUCCCCGGGCUCAACCUGGGAACUGCAUUUGUGACUGGCAGGCUAGAGUAUGGCAGAGGGGGGUGGAAUUCCGCGUGUAGCAGUGAAAUGCGUAGAUAUGCGGAGGAACACCGAUGGCGAAGGCAGCCCCCUGGGCCAAUACUGACGCUCAUGCACGAAAGCGUGGGGAGCAAACAGGAUUAGAUACCCCCGUAGUCCCUGUCUCUUAUAU